UAACAGUUAAACUAAAAAAAAAACAUGACAAUAUAAAAUUUAAAAGAUAACAAAUAUAUUACUACUAUUCAAAUUUACAAAGGCAAGACGUAAAAGCAAGAGAACAAAACUGACCCAACGAAAAUUUAACAGGAAUACUCACGUUUACAGCAACGUCGAGUUUCAACCGCUCGAACUCGAACGGAAAAAAAUGGACAGCAAUAACCAUAAACCGGAACCAAUGUACGGCAACCUCCACAAGACUCAAGCUCAGAAACGACUCCAGAGCUCGUUCCCUCACUUUGUUCAUGUGCGUGACUGUGUGAGCUCGAUCUUAUGGUAUUUAUUGAUUUUCCGGUGAGAUUGGGGAAUUUCCGGUGCAAGGUGGACGGAGAUAGUUGUUGUUGGAGUGAAAAAGUCGAUGGACUUCAAUGGGUGUUGUCGUUUGGUUCCAGUGGCUGAUUAUUUUCUCCUUGGUCAUUUUUUUGGUUAAGAAGAGGCCAUGAAAUUUGGCUUCCUACUAUGAACAAACAAUGGGGAGUGGGGUUUUCUCUGAUGUGAGAAUUGAGGUUGAGCUUUUUUCAGAGAAUAGGCUUUCUUCUUC
rnacentral:lncRNA from 1 species